GGGUCGGUGUCCGAGUGGUUAAUGGAGGCGGACUGUAAAUCCGCUGGCUUUGCCUACGCUAGUUCGAAUCUAGCCCGGCCCA
rnacentral:tRNA from 2 species